ensembl:lncRNA novel transcript
ACUCUAAUGGGGGAACAAUGAGAGCAGCAAGAAGGGGCUAGUGGCCUCUUCUAGUUCCUUCCAACCUGGCAGCAGGCAAGCUCCUAUUCUGACACCUGAGCCCUUGUGGUGGGGCCCGUUCUGAGUCAACCAGAGCACAGGCCGGGGAUAGAGGCAAGGAGGCAGCAAUUCAACAGUGAAUUUGGGACCUUUGGAGCAAUCAAGGGGAAGGUGGUGGUGCUGCUGAUGGCGGUGGAGAGCUCUGGACUAAACCUGUCAUGAUGAUCCUGGAUUGUUUUUAUUCCAACCUCCCAGCUGACCUUGGGGACUGGAUAGGUAAGUACUAAGACAACAAUUCUCAGACCUCACCCACUGUGUCUUAUCAAGUGCAUCAUAUUUUCUAGCUGGGUCAGCACAUGACUAUUGUUUCUAACGCAAAGAAAACAUAACACAGGGCAUCCAUUUUGCUGGAGGGAAUUGACUAGGCCAGGCUCAGACACUAUUGCAUAGUGGGUAUCUUCAAUACAAAGGAAGCUGCCCCAGUUAAGGAGGCAGAACUAGGAAAAGACCGACUGAGAAGAGGCUGGG